AGGAACAUCACAGGUACAGAGACUAAAUAGACAAUGAGGGCGGGGCUAAUCGAACACAGGUGAGACGCAUUAGGAACAGGUGCAGACAAUCACAGGGGCGGGAGACACAGGAAAAGCAAAGACACCAGAAACAAGACACGGGACAGGAAGUGCAGCAACACAAGGAAAGGGACUUCAGAAUAAAACAGGAAACUGAAGAAAACACAAACACGGGGUAAUAAGGUAACUUGACCAAGGCAAAGAUACACUAGGCACACGCAGUUGGAGGGAAAAUAAGAACCCUGUCUGUCACGUCUGGCUGCUUGUCUUUUACGAUCGUCUGUCUUCAUGCCAUUGCUCGUUCACUGGUGAGCCGGUAGACAUUUCCCAUUCUGCAGGACAAUAAAGUUCAAUUCAGUUUUAUUCUGCUCUAGGACACGCAUUGCCUUAACCCCCAACCCUUACUGUAAUCCUUAUCUAAACCAAAUUCUAACCCUGACCCUAAAACCAAGUCCAAACCCUCAAACUGCCCUUUGUAAGGUGUGUCAGAAAGUGAGGACCGGCCAAAAUGUCUGGACUUAAAAUGGUCCUCACAAUGAUAUAUGUACACGCACGCACGCACGCGCACGCGCACGCACGCGCACGCACACACGCACGCACACACACACACACACACACAAGCUGAGAUAGGCCAUGGAUUAGUGUCAGUGAUUUACUGUGAUAAAUCUGCACAUACUGAGCUCACAGGUGUGCGUCCACUUACAGAGUGUGUGUGUGUGUGUGUGUGUGUGUUUGUAAUAUCAGCAGAAAAUCAGUUGAUGGCAUGGUUUAAUCUGCAUAUUCUGUAUGUUGUUGGAUAUGCGCAGAACAUAAUGCGCGAAAAGAUUCUUGGAGUCAUUUAUAUUUAAGUAGAUUAAUACACACACACACACACACACACACACACACAUAGAUGCUACUACUGGCUCGUCAAUGCAGGUAUUUCUCCGAGAUGUUUAUGCAACGUAUUGAACGUUAGAUGAUGCUAAUUGGGACGAUCGCAGCAGUUGGUCGAUGGGAAACAGGAAACAGGCUUUAUCGCCCCAGUGGUCCAGAGAUCCUUUGAAGUGAGAUGUGAAGCAUCACAUCUUUCUUUCCUCUCUAAAUCUCUCCCUCCCUCUCUCAGUGAGGUAGAGGUGGGUGGAGAGAAAAGGAAAAGGAAAAAGAAUCAGUGGGAAUCAACUCAGUGUAAUCAGUACGUGUGGCUCUUCCCUCCCACACACACACACACACACACACACACACACACUGAGCUCAGUAAGAAGGCUUAGUCAGGCAGGGAGCUCAUGAAAGACGAUAGACCUCCAAUCUUUUGAAGAAGCUUCCAGACCUUCAGUGUUAUAUAAUUACGUUCGUACUGUAGAAUGAGACUCUCUGUCUCUUACCCCGUAACUUUUCCAUGUGAAUAUGGGACUUUUUAAAACAAAAUGCAUAAAAAAAACAAUGGUUCCUAAAUAAAGGGAAUAACAAAGUUGCCAAAAUUGAUUCCAGGUUGCUGCUCUACCAUUUUAUACAAAUAAAAAUCCCCAGUCAAAUGAGCUGAAUUUGUUUGUGCCCACACGGUGCACUCUCGCAACACUGAAACAACGUUAAUCAUCCAAGGAAAUUAACUUUUUAAGCCCAUCAGAAAAAUAAUCCCAUCUUCUCUUUCCCACAAAUGGUCAGUUUCCCCCAGUCUAUCAUUUGUGUUAAGUAUUUAUGGGAACACGCACAUUAGGGACUGUUAUCUCCCUGGCAUUGUCUGAUGUGGUAGAGGUGAGAAUUGGCCUGGAGGCGGCACAGAGUGAUUAAAGAUUCACAGGCGAUGGUGGAGCCAAUUUGCUGCGGUGCCUGGGGACCGUGCCUCUUUCAUGGCCGCUGCCGCGGGGACCGCACCAGGCCUGCUGAGUGGGAUGACACGUAAGAGGCCUCUGGAGAUGCCAAAGAUGAAGGGUUAAAGAGGUCACGUGCCCUUUAUCGACAUAUCGUGACUAAGGUUUGAAGGAGGAUGGACAGGAGCUUAUAGUCACAAGGAGGAGACGUUGUGUUUUUGUCUUGUUCCAUACUCGGAUCAUUUGGAUGAAACUGGGUCUUGGAUUGAGAAAUGAUGAAACUUGUGGAGAUGCGCAACAAAGCUUGUUAGGCCUGUACAUUUUGUCGCAACAUACAUUGUCCCAGAAACUAUUUGCGACAAACAAUAUGAUCGUCAUUUUAAGACUUUUUUUUUUUAAUCUGAAUCAUGUCGGUUUGCCGUAGAGGACUUUUGGUCGUUGCGGGUGCGAGUCCUACACGAUUUGUGUCGCUGCUGACAGAAAUGUUAUCCUCAGUUUAGACUUGCGUUCGGGCCUCAGACAAAAACAAGCAAUUUGAAGACACGGUGCCUUUAGAAAAAUACAAAGAAACCCCUGUGUUCUGACAUUUUAUAGACCACACCAGUAAUUAAUGGAUCAUGCGACGAGAACAGAUGAGAGGCAGAAGCAGCGAGACCCUGCUGGACUGUUGUUGACAUUUAUUCUUAUGUCAACAAACACGCAUGGAGACGCAAUGGCUGCUAUUGAGAUUUCCACACGGAGAAAAGCAAAAGUCGGUGCCUCGGCCUCACAUCGGUUAUGAAAUCAUUCUGCACUGCAGAGCAUCUCUCCUGCUGUGCUGCAGUGAGCCGGACACCGGAGCUGGGAGUGUCGAAGAGGAGGUGCUCAAACAUCUUGUGUUUUGUGGUUCAGUCACUGUGGCACUGUGAUGCAGCUUUAAAAGAAAAGAAAGAAAAAGAAUUUCUAAAUGUAAAGUAAGGUAAAAUACCCAAAUGGAAAAGCUCAUCAAAAGGCCAAAUCUUUACAAAAAGCGUUAUCGUUUAAAGUCGAAAUUGCGAAUGUGCGCACAUACAUUGGCAUUAGGGAAGUCGUACUUCAUUCGUUCUUCCCAUUAUCUCAUAUCACUCUCCUAAAUCUUCUUCUACCUCCUGUAAUAAAUGCUUAUCUGGAAGAAAAAGAAAAACUCUCCUACCUCCCCUGUAAGUUCUCAUUGCGCCUUUCUUUGUCUCACACUUCCUUCUCACUGUAAUUUUUCUGGGCUCAAAGUGAUAUUUUUACACAUUAAAUCAGAUGGCUUUAAUCAGUUCUUAGCCAAAUCCCUUCUAUCUCUUUCCUUAAUUCUGAUACCAUUCUGUUCCUGACUAUUUCCUCUCUGACAUGAACUUGCUCCUGGGUCACGGCAAUAUUUGGCUUUAAACCUUUAAAUACAUUUAGUUGGUUGUCGGGUUGGAGAACCUAGAAGAUUUGAAUCUUGAUGAUCAUGAUCGUCUCAUAAGAACCGAGUUAUCCAGCUCUGUAACUACACCAGACCUUCACUCUGCUUGAAAGUUGUCAUCACCACGUCACUGAGGCUACAGGAGAAGUGCAGUGUCUCAGUGAAAGGUCAUGACCUUUAGGCCGCAGGCUCUCGUUCCCGUCUCUCCCUUCACUUCCCUCAGUGUAAGAACAAAUCAUUUAGAUGUCACCAUGUCAUUUUAAUUGUGUGGAUUUGCUGAACACGUCUGUCCUUUACCAUUUAAGGGGGGGGGAGAAUCCUUUUUAUUUCUCUGCACAGACAGUGGAAUAGCUGUGAGGGAAAUGUGCGGGAAUGAUGGACAAGGAAAAAAUCUGAUCUGGCAGGAUUCAAGCUUUGGCCCCAGAAAAGCGAGAGUGUGAUUAGCCAACUCACCCAAGCUGUGCCAAUCAUGCCCACCGCCAGAACCACGCUCACCUCCACGAACAGAGUUCUCAGUGUUGAUGGAGAAAUCGUUGGUGGGAGACGCAUUCCACGGGAGGAAAAGCAUCUCGACCUCAUCCAGAUUGAGCUUCAGGUGGUGCGUCGACAUCCUCUGAGAAAUGUCGGCCAGACAUGCAGAGAUUCGUGCUGCCACCUGGGUUUCAGAUUGGGGCUAAGGACCACCAUCUGCUAACAUGGAGGAUGCGGGGUUUGUGAACUACACUGCAGCCAGCCACCAGGGGGCAGUCAAGGUGUUUUGGCUUUACUUUUAGGAAGCCAAAAACAACAUCACAUUUAUCUAUGUGUCUGACACAUACAGCACUUGUUCUUGAUUGACCUGCUCUAUGGAUUCUUUUGCUGCACGUUUAUACAUUGUUGGACUCAUGAUGAACAUAUUAAAAAAGGAUCAAAAUGAGAUAUGUUAUCUCUUUCAUACCUUGCAUUCUUUGCCCUUGUCGAAAUUUGAAGGGCUACAUUGCCCAGAAUGCAAC